rnacentral:rRNA from 1 species
GACGAACGCUGGCGGCGUGCCUAAUACAUGCAAGUCGAGCGAAGCGGCGGAUGGGUGAGUCACGCGUGGGUUACCUGCCCUUAAGUCUGGGCUACUAUUUGGAAACAGAAGCUACUACCGGCUACUACUGGAUUGUCCUGCGAUGCAUUAGCUAGUUGGUAAGGUAACGGCUUACCAAGGCGAUGAUGCAUAUCCGAGUUGAGAGACUGAUCGGCCACAUUGGGACUGAGACACGGCCCAAACUCCUACGGGAGGCAGCAGUAGGGAAUCUUCCACAAUGGACGAAAGUCUGAUGGAGCAACGCCGCGUGAGUGAAGAAGGUUUUCGGAUCGUAAAGCUCUGUUGUUGGUGAAGCGGUAAUCAACCAGAAAGUCACGGCUAACUACGUGCCAGCAGCCGCGGUAAUAC